rnacentral:rRNA from 1 species
AAGCAUAUAACUAAGCGGAGGAAAAGAAACUAACCAGGAUUCCCCCAGUAACGGCGAGUGAAGCGGGAAGAGCUCAUGUUUGAAAUCCAGCUCCCUGCGGGGCUGGAGUUGUAACCUAGAGGAGCGUGAUCGCCUGCCGGCAGGGCCGCGGCCAAGUCCGAUUUGAAAAGGGCACCAAGGAGGGUGGCAGUCCCGUUCGUGCCGCAGUCCCGCCGGCGAUGUGGCCCGCUUCCGACGAGUCGAGUUGCUUGGGAUUGCAGCUCAAAGUGGGUGGUAAACUCCAUCCAAAGCUAAACACGGGUGGGAGACCGAUAGCGAACAAGUACCGUGAGGGAAAGAUGCAAAGAACUUUGAAAAGAGAGUCAAAGAGUGCCUGAAAUUGCUGAGAGGGAAGCGAAGGAAAGUAGUGUCAGUCGAGGGGACCUCGCAGGCUCGGGGAGCAGCGCGUUCCGCGUCGUUCCCCAGGUCAUGUCCCCCGCGGUGUCAGGGGCGGGUGCGCUGCCGGAGGCGGCGGCCCCGGGUACAGGUGCUCCGAGGUAACAGCCGGAGGAAUGCCGCAACAGGGGAUCCUAUCCGCGUCUCGGUCGCGGCCGUCCCUGACGAAAUGUUUUUCUU